UCCCACAGGACUCAGCCCAGUCACGGGGU
rnacentral:piRNA from 1 species